rnacentral:rRNA from 1 species
GAUGAACGCUAGCUACAGGCUUAACACAUGCAAGUCGCGGGGCAGCAUGGGGGUUGCUUGCAAUCCCCGAUGGCGACCGGCGCACGGGUGAGUAACGCGUAUCCAACCUGCCCUUCACCACGGGAUAACCCGGCGAAAGUCGGACUAAUACCGUAUGUUGUCCAUUGACGGCAUCCGAUUUGGACGAAAGGUUUGGCGGUGAAGGAUGGGGAUGCGUCCGAUUAGCUGGACGGCGGGGUGACGGCCCACCGUGGCGACGAUCGGUAGGGGUUCUGAGAGGGGGGUCCCCCACACUGGAACUGAGACACGGUCCAGACUCCUACGGGAGGCAGCAGUGAGGAAUAUUGGUCAAUGGGCGUAAGCCUGAACCAGCCAAGUAGCGUGCAGGAUGACGGCCCUAUGGGUUGUAAACUGCUUUUAUGCGGGGAUAAAGUGGCCCACGUGUGGGUUUUUGCAGGUACCGCAUGAAUAAGGACCGGCUAAUUCCGUG